CCGAACUUGAGCAGCUCUCCGGCCGGCGCCGAUGUUUUAUGCUCCGGGUGAUCCGUCAGAAUUUCCUCUAUCAUGAAACUCCUGUAGCGAUAUUCCCCCCCCCUUUUGCGGAGGAAUCUUACAGCCGAUGGCGAUCACUUGGCUUGAGUCCGGAACCUGUGCAUGGCCUGCUGGGGGUUGUUCCUGCGGACCGCGGAGCCCGGCACCUUGGUAGUGAGAUCGGGAAUAAGCCUUUUGGAGUUAAGUGUUCCGUCGUGGCUCCACCCUCCUUCCCUCUCUCCCGCCCGGGAUUUGCCCUUGCAGCUUUCUGCCUUUGUCGCAGUUAAACUUCCAUGCAAAGGCACACUUGUCCUGCGUGGACUUAUUCAAAACAGAGGUAAAUGAGGACUCGGAGCAAGGACACUUGAAGCAACUUCAACUCGGAACUCUUAGCCUGAUGAUGGUGAUGGUGGUGAGCAGGCUGAGAAUAGAGAAGCUGCUCCUAAAAGGAGAAAAUGAUCUAUAAAAAAAAUGUUUGUCAUUAA